rnacentral:rRNA from 1 species
GGGGGCGCGCACACAGGUGCUGCAUGGCUGUCGUCAGCUCGUGUCGUGAGAUGUUGGGUUAAGUCCCGCAACGAGCGCAACCCACGUCCUUAGUUGCCAUCAUUCAGUUGGGCACUCUAGGGAGACUGCCGGUGAUAAGCCGCGAGGAAGGUGUGGAUGACGUCAAGUCCUCAUGGCCCUUACGGGAUGGGCUACACACGUGCUACAAUGGCGGUGACAGUGGGAAGCGAAGGAGCGAUCUGGAGCAAAUCCCCAAAAGCCGUCUCAGUUCGGAUUGCACUCUGCAACUCGAGUGCAUGAAGGCGGAAUCGCUAGUAAUCGUGGAUCAGCAUGCCACGGUGAAUACGUUCCCGGGCCUUGUACACACCGCCCGUCACACCAUGGGAGUUGGUCUUACCCGACGGCGCUGCGCCAACCGCAAGG